rnacentral:rRNA from 1 species
UACAUGGGGUGCAAACGUUGCUCGGAAUUAUUGGGCGUAAAGCGCGCGUAGGCGGUUACUUAAGUCGGAUGUGAAAGCCCUCGGCUUAACUGAGGAAGUGCAUCCGAAACUGAGUAGCUAGAGUACGAAAGAGGGUCGCGGAAUUCCCGGUGUAGAGGUGAAAUUCGUAGAUAUCAGGAGGAACACCGGUGGCGAAGGCGGUCUCUGGGCCUUACCUGACGCUGAGGAGCGAAAGCUAGGGGAGCGAACGGG